GGUUUGGUUGCGCAGCCGCCGGGGAAGGAGACGCUGCCCUUCCGCAGCGAUGGCAUCCCGGCUCUGUGGAGGGGCCCUCUGGUAUGUGUGUCCCUGUCCUUCUGGGGCGUGGAUGGUGCCUGGGACCCAGCUGGCAACCAGUUGAAGACGUUCUCCUUGGAAGCUCUUGGCCCUGAGGACUUUGCCUGGGGCAUUGGCCCUGCCAUGGCGUUCCGGAGGGCCGAGGGCACGUCUAUGAUCCAGGCCCUGGCCAUGACGGUGGCCGAGAUCCCCGUGUUCCUGUACACGACGUUUGGGCAGGGAGGCUGGUCAACUUCCCCGUCUAGGGUGGCUGCCUCUCAGUCUCUCAUCUGGUCGGCAGAUGUGCCGGAGAGCCGGUGUGUGUCCCGUCCCUGAGGUGCUCUGGGGCGGUCCUGCUGCCUUGGACCUUCCCCAGGGAGGUGUAACCGGCAGCGUCUCCUCUUCCCUGCAGUCUGCAUUCUCCCAGCUACGGUUGACGCCAGGCCUGCGGAAAGUCCUCUUUGCCACGGCCCUGGGGACUGUGGCCCUGGCCCUGGCUGCCCACCAGC
rnacentral:lncRNA from 1 species